GGCUCUCUGCUUACAUAAAUAUAGGGAGUCGAGCCUGCCCAGUGAAUUUUUAAACGGCCGCGGUACUCUGACCGUGCAAAGGUAGCAUAAUCAUUUGCCUUAUAAUUGAAGGCUAGUAUGAAUGGUUUGACGAGAACAAUACUGUCUCCUUUUUAUUUUCAAGAACUUAACUUUUAGGUGAAGAGGCCUAAAUUUUAUUGAAGGACAAGAAGACCCUAUCGAGCUUAAAAGACAUUAUAGAAGUUUAUAUAUUUUUAAAUAAAUUUUCUAUUUAGCUUUUUAGUUGGGGCGACUAAGGAACAAAAAAAGCUUCUUGCUGAUAAUAAGCAGUCAUGUUUAGAUCCGAUAAUAAUCGAUCAAAGAAAUUAGUUACCGUAGGGAUAACAGCAUAAUCUCUCUUGAGAGACCUAAUCGAAAGAGGGGGUUGUGACCUCGAUGUUGGACUAGAAUAUCCUAAAGAUGCAGAAGUCUUUGAGGGUCGGUCUGUUCGACCGUUAAAAUUCU
rnacentral:rRNA from 1 species